GAUGAAGAACGUAGCGAAAUGCGAUAAGUAGUGUGAAUUGCAGAAUUCAGUGAAUCAUCGAAUCUUUGAACGCACAUUGCGCCCCUUGGUAUUCCAUGGGGCAUGCCUGUACGAGCGUCAUUUGUACCUUCAAGCUCUGCUUGGUGUUGGGUGUUUGUCUCGCCUCUGCGUGUAGACUCGCCUCAAAACAAUUGGCAGCCGGCGUAUUGAUUUCGGAGCGCAGUACAUCUCGCGCUUUGCACUCAUAACGACGACGUCCAAAAGUACAUUUUUACACUCUUGACCUCGGAUCAGGUAGGGAUACCCGCUGAACUUAAGCAUAUCAAUAAGCGGAGGA
rnacentral:misc_RNA from 1 species